AAGUUGCCUAGAUAAUAAUUUUACCUUUAGAUUUUAAAAAAGAUAAAUUCACUCUAAUUUUUAAAAUAACAAAGCUACAGUCUACAAAUUUGAUAUCUUACGCUGUUGUAAGACGGAUACAACACCUGCGGGUAUCACGUCCUUUAAUAUGAUUUAACUUAUAUUUUUUAAAAAUCGUUAUUGAUUUCGUUAGAUUAAUACCUAGUUAUGUUAUUAAAACAAAAAUAACUUGAUUUAAUAAAUUUCGAUUGGAACAUUUAUAAUGCCUUUUUUUAUGACGAUCUGUAAAUAUCAGGAGUUUUGUAAAACUUUGUUAAUAGCAACAUUAUACCUAGAGGAUAACACAAUUUUACCUGUUUCCAAAAAUCGAGAUAUUGAUCUAUAUUUAUUUAAGUACCUACUACCUACAUAACAUUUUACCAUGAUUUUCGACGGUCUGUAUAUACUUAAUUCCUUAGAUUUGUAGCUUGUCUGCAACUUUUAUUAUUUCCGAUUUCGGGAAAAACAAUAAUUUACCUAUAGUUUAUGACGUAGUCAUAUAUAGAUACUGUCAAUUGUUUUUACGGAGUUUUAAUUAUUAAGUGAAUUAUGAGCAUUUUCAAAUAUUAAUGUUUUACAUACUCAUAUAACUGACUUAAAAAUUUAGAUAUCGUGAAAAUCCAUCGAGAGAACCAGAGAACACAAAAAUUUUGAUAUUGGUCAAUUCACUCUAAUAUCAAAACCAACAACUCACUAUUGUAACCGGUGAACCGUGAACGAAAAUUUACUAUGCCGUACGUCGGAGUCUCGGAGAUAAUACAGGCGGGUAUGAUGCCCUAUGCCCGCAUCGGCCGCAUCCAGUUAGGGCACUAUAGAUACAGGUAUGCUACGCCGCCAUUUUGCGACUAAUAAUGUUAUGUGAAUUUGAAUUUCUCCCUCUUUAUUUUAUCAUUUUAUCAUUGAUAAAUGAGUCGCAAAAUGGUGGCAUAGCACACCCAUUCUAUGUAGAGCCUUAAUCCAGUCAGUAUAGCAGUGAUCCCUAUCACCCAUAAAAAUACAUUGUCAUGCUAUCACCUAUGUGGUUGCUAUAUGAGAUUUGAGUAGUAUGAUAUUAGUAGUAUAUAGUAUGUAAUAUGAUAGGAAUAGUGAUUCUCGAAUCUCGAUCACACGGCCAAAAAUAUGGCCAACAUUUCAAUCAUGUGUCUCUAUAUUGGAAUCACACCUUCAUUAAUCAUUAGUAAUUAGUAAUUACAAUUACCAUCAUGCUAUAAAUACAUUUAAAAAUUUUUACUUUGGUAAAUUAUAAUUAUUAUUUAUUGAAAACUAAGUGCACGUUUUUAUAUGUUUUUUUAUUACCUAAUUAAAAAAUUGUUUGUGCAAUAAUAUUGUGCUUCACUUUUAGGUACUGGCCGAUAAAAAAAACUCGAUUAAUUAAUUUUUGUUUACAAUCUUUAUGUUUACUAUUGAUUUUGUAAGAGUAUAAUAUUCUUUAUAUAAUCUAACAUUUUAUUAAACGUUUCAAUCAAUAUUUAUUUUAAUGAUAUUUUAUAUUUAUUUUAGAUAUGACAUCAUUAAUCAUGCCAUGUUUUUGUCCAGGUUUAACAUGUUUUGCAUGCUACGUACGAGCAGUUUUUAGAGCGAUCAUUUUAAUACCAAAUCCUGAUGAGCAAUCAAUUACCGAUUAUAUCAUGAAUGGUCAUACGAGUGCAAAACGGCCAAUCAUAAAAACCGUUAUUAAUUUUUUAUUAAUAAAUCACAUGCUUGAAUGUAAAUCAGAAUACUUAUUUUUCGGGAAUGAUGAUGCAGAUACGCGUGCAGACGAAACUCAUAUGGCGCUGGAAGAACAUAGCCCUGACGUCACAGAAGCAGCAUCAACAGGCACAAGCAGUAGCGUUCGUAACGACAGUCCUCGUCAUGUGAAUGACAAUCGACACGUCGUCGCUCGCUCGAAUUUUGUGUGCGAGGUAUGCAAUAGACCGUGUUUGUCUGCGGCUGGACUCGUAAGCCAUCGCCGUGUUCACCGAUCGUGAUUUCCUUCACCUGUAGAAAGCCUAGAUUUGUGUAUCUACCAUUCAAGGAAUGUCCUUUAGCGAUACCAUACGAAAACCAACCUUUUCCCAAUAAAUUGUUAAUCCGAUGAUGAUUUUGAAAAUAUUGAUGCGACUAAAACGAAAUUAAAAAGAGCGAGUAGUUUUUAAUUUGGAUGCAAGUACGUUCCUCAUAUAGUCAUAUAGUUGUGGGCUAAACUGCUGAAGAAACUGUUUAAAAAACCAAAAAUCUUACUCAACAAAUUCAUCUGCUUUAUAUUUUACCUAGGUACAAUAUAAAAGGUCGAUCAUCAAUUGAAAAAAAUAUGAAAAUAAUUAUAUGACUUGAAGAAUCUGAAAAAUAUUUUCUCAGUUCAGCGGCUGCAGUGAGUUGUUUGACUCACAGAUAGAUUAUAAUAUGUACUAUGUAUAACUGAUUUCUAUAAUAAUAUAUUCCUUAUUUCAUAUAAAAUUAAAUCAUUUUCACAUCUUAGUGAUUGUAAACUACAAUACAAUAAUAAUUUGCGCUACCAUUUCUGCUGAUAAUUUCCCUAUACACCACAGGCAAUGCGGGAAUAAAAAAAAAUAAUAGGUACUUUUACUCAGUUUAUUAUAAUAACUGUAACAACUAACAAUGCAGUUUAGUGGCAUUAGUGAAAGUAUUUUUGAACCGAUUUGUUAACACAUUAAACACAUGUAGGUACACAAUUGUUUCUUCGGUGUACACUGUAGUACAUGUCACUUGCACUAAAAUACCUGCAGGUACGUACUAUAACACAUUAACACGCUAUUACACGCUAGAUACAUUAUUGCAAUUUUCAAAGACUUUACAAUUUCAAGCUCGCAAUCAUUUUUCAGACAUCGUCGAUAUGAACGCAUUCCAGUACACGAUUGUUGUGGUUUCCGUCUGGCUGCAGCUGUUCGCAUGCUUCAUCGAUGGAAGCCCAGUGAAAUCGAAUAAACCCAAUGUGGCGGCGCAACGACGCAGCGGAAACG